UACGGUAGGGGGCUAGCGUUGUCCGGAAUCAUUGGGCGUAAAGCGCGCGUAGGCGGCCAGAUAAGUCCGGUGUGAAAGUCACAGGCUCAACCUGUGGAUGCCGCUGGAAACUGUUUGGCUCGAGUCCGGAAGGGGCGAGUGGAAUUCCUGGUGUAGCGGUGAAAUGCGCAGAUAUCAGGAGGAACACCAAUGGCGAAGGCAGCUCGCUGGGACGUGACUGACGCUGAGACGCGAAAGCGUGGGGAGCAAACAGG
rnacentral:rRNA from 1 species